AUGCAGAACGAUGAAGGACAAAUCACCGAGCUCUACAUCCCUAGGAAGUGCUCUGCCACUAACAGAUUGAUUACUGCUAAGGAUCACGCUUCGGUUCAGAUUAACGUAGGCCACCUCGAUGAAAGCGGUGUCUACAAUGGUCACUUCUCCACUUUUGCCCUAUGUGGCUUCACUCGCGCACAGGGAGACGCGGACAGUGGGAUUGAUCGUUUGUGGCAGAAAAAGAAAACUGAACUUAAACAGUAG